rnacentral:rRNA from 1 species
AAAGGAAUAGACGGGGACCCGCACAAGCGGUGGAGUAUGUGGCUUAAUUCGAUGCAACGCGAAGAACCUUACCAAGGCUUGACAUGCAUCUCUAAGCGCGUGAAAGCGCGUGACCCUUCGGGGGAUUUGCACAGGUGCUGCAUGGCCGUCGUCAGCUCGUGUCGUGAGAUGUUGGGUUAAGUCCCGCAACGAGCGCAACCCUUGUGAUUAGUUGCCAGCACGUCAAGGUGGGAACUCUAAUCAGACUGCCCAGAUCAACUGGGAGGAAGGUGGGGACGACGUCAGGUCAGUAUGGCCCUUACGCCUUGGGCUGCACACGUACUACAAUGCCCAGUACAAUGAGAACCGAUGCCGCGAGGUGGAGGAAAUCUGCAAAACUGGGCCCAGUUCGGAUUGGAGGCUGCAACUCGCCUCCAUGAAGUCGGAAUCGCUAGUAAUGGCACAUCAGCUACGGUGCCGUGAAUACGUUCCCGGGUCUUGUACACACCGCCCGU